AGGUUUAUUUUGAAGGCUGUCUCACUGAGGAUUAUUCUAGGAAUGGAGUGGUUCAGAUGUGAUGCUAUUUUCUGAGCGGCCAGUUUGCCAUUGUGAAGAAGUGCCGAGAGAAAAGCACAGGGCUGGAGUACGCGGCCAAGUUCAUCAAAAAGCGGCAGAGCCGGGCCAGCCGGCGGGGCGUGUGCCCGGAGGAGAUUGAGCGGGAGGUGAGCAUCCUGCGGCAGGUGCUACACCCCAACGUCAUCACACUGCACGACGUCUUUGAGAACCGCACCGACGUGGUGCUCAUCCUUGAGCUCCAGAAAACAUUAUGUUGUUAGACAAGAAUAUUCCCAUUCCACACAUCAAGCUGAUUGACUUUGGCCUGGCUCAUGAAAUAGAAGAUGGAGUUGAAUUUAAGAACAUAUUUGGGACGCCAGAAU